UACGGAGGUUCCAAGCGUUAUCCGGAUUUAUUGGGUUUAAAGGGUGCGUAGGCGGGCUUUUAAGUCAGCGGUAAAAAUUCGGGGCUCAACCCCGUCCGGCCGUUGAAACUGAUGAUCUUGAGUGGGCGAGAAGUAUGCGGAAUGCGUGGUGUAGCGGUGAAAUGCAUAGAUAUCACGCAGAACUCCGAUUGCGAAGGCAGCAUACCGGCGCCCGACUGACGCUGAGGCACGAAAGCGUGGGGAUCGAACAGG
rnacentral:rRNA from 1 species